GGGCCGGUCGUCUAGCCUGGUUAGGACGUCAGGGUUUCCACCUCGCAGGUCGGCGGUCCGAAUCCGCCCCGGCCCACCA
rnacentral:tRNA from 1 species